rnacentral:ncRNA from 2 species
AACUUAUCCAGAGAAGUUGAGGGAUUUGGCCCUAUGAGACUUCAGCAGCAGACUUAUGUCGUAAGUACUGUGCUACUUCCAACAAGUUACAUGACUUGAUAGAUAGGUG